ensembl:lncRNA
UGAAUUUGCUUAGGCAUUAAUCAUACAAACACAUUUAUUUUUCAAUGUGGCAUCUUCUGUUCUCUAUCAGAGCAUGUGAGUGGAAUUGAGUGCCAAAAAACACUCCUCUGGGAAAAAAAACUGCAAAUCUAAAUUCGCUCCAUUCAUUAAAAUCACAAAAACACAUCUAUUUUUAGUGACUACCUGGACCUACCAUUUGGUUUUGACAUAUCAAAGCCAAACCAUAUGAUUGGAAUGAAAAGUAUUUUAGUAAACAACAUGAAAAGGUGACUGUAAGAAGCGCUCAUCAUUUCAAAUAGGCCACAUGUCAUAUUAAACAGCAUAUAACCACUCUAAAUAGGCCACAUGUCAUAUUAAACAGCAUAUAACCACUCUAAAUAGGCCACAUGUCAUAUUAAACUGCAUAUAACCACUCUAAAUAGGCCACAUGUCAUAUUAAACAGCAUAUAACCACUCUAAAUAGGCCACAUGUCAUAUUAAACAGCAUAUAACCACUCUAAAUAGGCCACAUGUCAUAUUAAACAGCAUAUAACCACUCUAAAUAGGCCACAUGUCAUAUUAAACUGCAUAUAACCACUCUAAAUAGGCCACAUGUCAUAUUAAACAGCA